rnacentral:lncRNA from 1 species
UUGCGUCUAUAUUCAAAGUGAUGUCCUCGGUGACCACCAUCGAUCUUUGAUCGCUCUCUCAAAUGAUAUGGGGAUAUCCUCUUAAGCCUUGAAAAUAUAUAUAGAUGAGAAACGUAGUUUACUCCCAUAUUCUCAAAUCUUAUUCGUAUUUCAGCCCAUAUAUGUACAUUCUUAUUAAAAAAGAAAAUAAAAAAUACAACGAUUUGCCAAAAAUAAAUAAAAUAUCUUAAGCUGAAUAAUAAGUGUAUACUACAUUAA